rnacentral:rRNA from 1 species
AUACGUAGGUGACAAGCGUUAUCCGGAUUUACUGGGCGUAAAGGGCGUGUAGGCGGUCUUGCAAGUCAGAAGUGAAAUUCCUGAGCUCAACUCGGGCGCUGCUUCUGAAACUGCAGGACUUGAGUGCUGGAGGGGAUAGCGGAAUUCCUAGUGGAGCGGUAAAAUGCGCAGAUAUUAGGAAGAACACCGGUGGCGAAGGCGGCUAUCUGGAAGAUAACUGACGCGGAGGCGCGAAAGCGUGGGGAGCAAACAGGAUUAGAUCCCCUGGUAGUCCACGCCGUAAACGAUGAAUACUAGGUGUAGGGGGUAUCGACUCCCUCUGUGCCGCAGUUAACACAAUAAGUAUUCCGCCUGGGGAGUACGGCCGCAAGGUUGAAACUCAAAUGAAUUGACGGGG